rnacentral:rRNA from 1 species
UAGUAGCGAAGUUCCUGAUGUCACACUGCCAAGAAAAGCUUCUAGUGAGAAAGUAACUGCCCGUACCGCAAACCGACACAGGUAGUUGAGGAGAGAAUCCUAAGGUGUGCGAGAGAACUCUCGUUAAGGAACUCGGCAAAAUGACCCCGUAACUUCGGGAGAAGGGGUGCUGACCGCAAGGUCAGCCGCAGUGAAUAGGCCCAAGCGACUGUUUAUCAAAAACACAGGUCUCUGCAAAAUCGAAAGAUGACGUAUAGGGGCUGACGCCUGCCCGGUGCUGGAAGGUUAAGAGGAGAGGUUAGCGCAAGCGAAGCUUUGAAUUGAAGCCCCAGUAAACGGCGGCCGUAACCAUAACGGUCCUAAGGUAGCGAAAUUCCUUGUCGGGUAAGUUCCGACCCGCACGAAAGGCGUAACGAUUUGGGCACUGUCUCAACGAGAGACUCGGUGAAAUUAUAGUACCAGUGAAGAUGCUGGUUACCCGCGACAGGACGGAAAGACCCCAUGGAGCUUUACUGCAGUUUGAUAUUGCGUGUUUGUAUCACAUGUACAGGAUAGGUAGGAGCCAAUGAUACCGGGACGCCAGUCUCGGAGGAGGCAACGGUGGGAUACUACCCUUGUGAUAUGACCACUCUAACCCGCUGCUCUUAGCGAGCAGGGAGACAGUGUCAGACGGGCAGUUUGACUGGGGCGGUCGCCUCCAAAAAUGUAACGGAGGCGCCCAAAGGUUCCCUCAGAAUGGUUGGAAAUCAUUCGUAGAGUGUAAAGGCAGAAGGGAGCUUGACUGCGAGACCUACAAGUCGAGCAGGGACGAAAGUCGGGCUUAGUGAUCCGGUGGUUCCGCAUGGAAGGGCCAUCGCUCAACGGAUAAAAGCUACCCUGGGGAUAACAGGCUUAUCUCCCCCAAGAGUUCACAUCGACGGGGAGGUUUGGCACCUCGAUGUCGGCUCAUCGCAUCCAGGGGCUGUAGUCGGUCCCAAGGGUUGGGCUGUUCGCCCAUUAAAGCGGUACGCGAGCUGGGUUCAGAACGUCGUGAGACAGUUCGGUCCCUAUCCGUCGCGGGCGUUGGAAAUUUGAGAGGAGCUGUCCUUAGUACGAGAGGACCGGGAUGGACACACCGCUGGUGUACCAGUUGUUCUGCCAAGAGCAUCGCUGGGUAGCUAUGUGUGGACGGGAUAAACGCUGAAAGCAUCUAAGCGUGAAGCCCCCCUCAAGAUGAGAUUUCCCAUCACUUUAAGUGAGUAAGACCCCUGAGAGAUGAUCAGGUAGAUAGGUUGGGAGUGGAAGUACAGCGAUGUAUGGAGCGGACCAAUACUAAUCGGUCGAGGACUUAACC